ACAAAUUAUAGCAUAUAAAAAUGCCUUUUAUUUACACUAAAAUGAAAAUAUAAAAUAUUUAAUUUGU
rnacentral:tRNA from 1 species